AAAAUACGGGAGGCAGCAGUGAGGAAUAUUGGUCAAUGGACGAGAGUCUGAACCAGCCAAGUAGCGUGCAGGAUGACGGCCCUAUGGGUUGUAAACUGCUUUUAUGCGGGAAUAAAAUGAUUUACGUGUAUUUCAUUGCAUGUACCGCAUGAAUAAGGACCGGCUAAUUCCGUGCCAGCAGCCGCGGUAAUUUUU
rnacentral:rRNA from 1 species